GGGGCUGUGGCUCAGUGGUAGAGCAUCUGUUUGGAAAGCAGGAGGUCCCCCAGGUUCAAUCCCUGGCACCUCCA